GGCGAACGGGUGAGGAUCACGUGAGAAACCUGCCCCAGACUUUGGGAUAACAGUUGGAAACGACUGCUAAUACCGAAUGACGUCGGAGAACCGCAUGGUCCACUGACGAAAGGGAUUCCGGUUUGGGAGGGUCUCGCGGCCUAUCAGCUUGUUGGUGAGGUAACGGCUCACCAAGGCUACGACGGGUAGCUGGUCUGAGAGGAUGAUCAGUCACACUGGGACUGAGACACGGCCCAAACUCC
rnacentral:rRNA from 1 species